UAAAAAUACAAGUGUCACAGCACAUUGUUACAGAAAAAUAUCUUUCUGAUUUUACCAUUUCAGUGUAUAGUACAUAGAGUAGGGAUAUAAACAGUUAACUGGUAAGCAUUAGUCUUACCGGUUAACCCCCGUUAACUGUUAACCCUCAGGCUGGCUGCCUGUCACAAUCCCAACAGCCCCGUGCAGGCCGGCCAUCCCACCAAUUGGAGCCGUCCCUUGGGUAGGGCGAAUCGGGGCAACCGCUCUGGGCCCCAUGCUUUGUGGAGCCCUGCAGACCAGUGUGAUUGGCCAGUGCAGUAGGUCCCAGAAUUCAUAGACAGAAGCUGAGCAUGGCACUUGAACUACAAGCACAUCAGCAGAUUCUCCAGAAAAAACAAGGAAGAUUGUCCUUAACAUCCCUAUACUUCAAAAGGUAAAAUGAAGCAUGAAGCAAAUGUCUAAAGACUAAUAUCAUAGAAAUAGAGCAGCUGGCCAGUGACCUUGUGCAGGAGCGUUGGAAUAUUUUGGCAGUUGAGGUUCACAAUACAAGAUAUCUUUCAACUUGGAGAGUCAUUGAUGGACGAAGGAUAGAACCCAAGGUGGUGCCAUUGAACAGAUACUCAUAGAAAGCCAGUGAGAUCCUGAUCCUGACCCCACUGAAGUGUUGGUAAUUCAUUCUGAAACUUGUAAGAAAGCUUUGGAUCUGGUCCUAGUAUUUUGUGAGCUAAUAUACUGCUGUCCUAAUGGAUUCAUCACAAACUCAACUCAAGGUCAGAACAGGCAUGGCUUCUUUGUGUUCCAGAGAACAAAAUGUAUGUGCUAGAGGACAAAACUGGCUUCAGUAACUCUUGAGUUCACUGACCUGGUUCAAGUCAUUUAACCUCUUGGCCGUAUUUCCUAAUCUGCUCCAGACAAGCAACACAAAAUGGGUGGAUUCUGGCUGGAAAUAGCCAGAUAUUUCUCCUGUGGCAGGGAGCUCUCUGCUUCUGAAAGCCAGUGAUGCAGCAGAGCUGUUUUUUUCUGUUCCUCAACACCUUAAUAAUCCCAUAAUAUCUUUAUCACCUUGGAUGUAUCAGGAGAGGGAGGAGGCAUAGCAGCGGUGGGCUGAGGACAAUGCAGAAUUCUGUUAUGACAAUUCACACGUGUAAGUUAGAGCAGCUCCUUGGUGGCUCUACCUAACACCAGGACUGGCCAGUGCUACAUUGCUCCUUCCUGCCAGCCCCCUGCCAGCUGGAGCUCUGAUCCAGGGGAGAAAUGAUCAUCUACCUAUAUAGACAAAGAUUAAAUUUACUUACCUCACUGGGGCAUUGUGAAGAUUAAUUAGAUGAUGUUUGUAAAGUGCUGCAUAAGCAUUAUGAGAGAGAAGCAGCUGGCUCUACAGUCUUCCAUUUUCAAUGUGACAACACAGUUUUAAGAGCCAAUAUAGAGGUACAGAUGCAAGAAAGGUUCAUAUUCUGUCAGUAUAUACCACAUUUUCAUAAUGUGUGUUAUGGGCUCAUAAUAUGGUUCAUCAUUUUGAGAAAU